AUCGAACGCUGGCGGCAGGCCUAACACAUGCAAGUCGAGCGGAUGCAGCGAGAUUGCUCCUGGAUUCAGCGGCAGACGGGUGGGUCAUGCCUAGGAAUCUGGCAGGAAGCGGGGGAUAACGUGCGAAUACGGGCGCUAAUACCGCAUGCGACCUGUGGGCGACAGUGGGGGAUCUUCGGACCUCACGCUAUCAGGUGAGGCUAGGUCUGAUUAGCUUGUUGGUGCGGUAACGGGCUACCGAGGCGACGAUCCGAAACUGGUCUGAGAGGAUGAUCAGGCACACUGUAUCUGAGACACGGCCCACACUCCUACGGGGGGCAGCAGUGGGGACUAUUGCACGAUGGGCGAGUGGCUGAUCCAGCCCUGUCGGCGGAGUGCAGAAGCUCCUAUGAUUGUAGAGUGCUGUAAGUUGUGAGGUAGGAAAGUAAUUUAAGCGCGUACUGUUUUGACGGUACCAACAGAAGAAGCACCGGCUAACUUCGUG
rnacentral:rRNA from 1 species